GCAAGUCGAGCGCGCCCUUCGGGGUGAGCGGCGGACGGGUGAGUAACGCGUGGGAAUAUGCCCUUCUCUAAGGAAUAGCCUCUGGAAACGGAGAGUAAUACCUUAUACGCCCUUAGGGGGAAAGAUUUAUCGCUGAAGGAGUGGCCCGCGUUAGAUUAGAUAGUUGGUGGGGUAAUGGCCUACCAAGUCUACGAUCUAUAGCUGGUUUUAGAGGAUGAUC
rnacentral:rRNA from 1 species